GACUUGACAUCUCCUGAAUUACUCUUAAUCGAGGAAGUCCCUUCGGGGACAGGAAGACAGGUGGUGCAUGGUUGUCGUCAGCUCGUGUCGUGAGAUGUUGGGUUAAGUCCCGCAACGAGCGCAACCCUUAUUGUUAGUUGCUACUAUUAAGUUAAGCACUCUAACGAGACUGCCGCGGUUAACGUGGAGGAAGGUGGGGAUGACGUCAAAUCAUCAUGCCCCUUAUGUCUAGGGCUACACACGUGCUACAAUGGCUGGUACAACGAGCAGCAAACCCGCGAGGGGGAGCAAAACUUGAAAGCCAGUCCCAGUUCGGAUUGUAGGCUGAAACUCGCCUACAUGAAGUUGGAGUUGCUAGUAAUCGCGAAUCAGCAUGUCGCGGUGAAUACGUUCCCGGGUCUUGUACACACCGCCCGUCACACCAUGAGAGCCGGUAACACCCGAAGCCCGUGAGGUAACCGUAAGGAGCCAGCGGUCGAAGGUGGGAUUGGUGAUGGGGGUGAAGUCGUAACAAGGUAGCCGUAGGAGAACCUGCGGCUGGAUCACCUCCUUUCUAGGGA
rnacentral:rRNA from 1 species